GAGAGAGAGAGAGAGCUGAGACUUCACAGACCCAUAGCUGAAAUUCAGUGAGUCAUGGUAAGGCCUCUGGAUGGCAUGCCCAGUAGUUGGCAGUUAUAUGAAAUCAAAGAAGGUAACUAUAAGCGAAAAGACAUACGUGAUUUGGAUAUGGAUCUUAGCUGUUUUCUUUAUCCUCCAUUUCUAGUUCUCAAGUGCUAGGCAUUUGACUGAGUUGUACAGAAUAUUCACUGCUUCAGACUCUAAAAUGACGAGGCCAGCUAAACUCUCAGUGUUAAGUGGACUGGGAAUAGCAGUGCUCAUUUUUACGGAAACUGUUCUAAAGACGGGAACAGCACAAAAGGAAAAGAAGAUAAAUUCAAUGAAAUUUGAGAGAUUUUCUUAGAGAGAACAUUCCCGGCUGGCUAGUUUUCAUUGUAGGGGAAGAUGCUAGGAAGACUGCUAUGGGAGAAAAGUCGUCAGCAUUAUUUCUUACCUAUGAACCCUGCAAGCUACAAGCUGUUAUGCAAGCUGUAGCCACUGGUGCCAUGGAGACUAGAGCUUUUCUCAGCCCUGGUCAAGAAGCUUCCCUCUGCUCAAGGUGCUGUGAAUAAGUGACUGAGAGCUUAGCACUAAACAGAACGGCUACACCACCUUUUUCAAGGCUUGGGGAGGAAAUGGGAAGAGUGCAGGAGCUGGAGAAAGCAGAGGAAUGCUGUGAAUUGCCGUCUUCUGGACACGAUAUGGCCAUUGCACUCAUGGACUCCCAACAGCUAUGUUACUUGCACAAGAUCAGCACAAGAUAAGGCCCAUCAAUCUUCCCUGUGGGUGGAGAAGGGCUCAUGAAGCAUCACCUCUUCCCGAGGGGAUAUUGACAGCUCAUUAUUGCUGGAGGAGAGGGAGUAGUUACUAUCAAAGACUAAAAACUUUUAAUUAAAAAGAAUUUUAGUUUUGACGGUUAGGAAGCGAUAGAAUAAUUCCAUAACUAAUACAAGUUUAUUUUAAAACAGACUUCGAAAGUACAUGUUCUAAGUAUCUAAUACACUGAUUACUAUUACUGGGCAGCUUUUUAUUUUGUUUUAUUAAAAUACAUAAUGCCCACCUCGAUUCAUUUGUAGCACUGUUAAACUAAGUAGGUCGACUCUGUCAAACCAGUGCCACAAACUUCAGGUUGAGUCAAUUGUGUUUGCUUCUGUUUAUUUAUAAACCCCGCCUCCUGCCCAAGAGGGCCUGAAGUUGCUGUUACAGUUAGUCACACAAGUCCUUCAACCUCCAAGUCUGGCAAAAACCAGUAUUUCUGGUUCCUCACUGCUUGUGGAACCUUACAAGUACUGAUUCAUAGCAACCUGAGACCUGUGUAGACUGGCUUCAAAUAACCCUCAGGAGCAGUCUAUGCGAAUCACUUAUUUCACUAGCCAAGAGGGGAACCAGCCAAAGUUUUGAAUCCUGUAGACCCUGUGUCUUUGUUAUCAAUGCAGGGCAGGCAAUCACUUCUACCACCAGCCCUAAGUGUACCAGGCAAAAAGAAAAAGCCCAACUUGAGAGGGAACGUCUCAAAGGCAUCGUGUCCUUGGCUAUGACUGUCAACUGUCAACACAACCAACAUUAUCUCUCUUCUGCCAACUCAGGGACGGACAUGUCUGGGUUCUGUCAUCACUGGCUUUCUUCUCAUCAAGACAACUUUCCAAAGGAAGGCUCCCACUCACAUGUCUCCACAGUUUAUUAGGAGCCAGGGAUUUUCCAGGAAAUCCCUGCUAAAGGGCUGGCUGGGCAGUCAGUGUUUGAUAACUCAGAGACACAGUGUUCCUUUGGGCUAUGAACCUGUUACCUCUCAUCUAGCCUCAAACAGUCCUUAUGCAAGAGCUUUCAGAGAAGAAACUUCCUGAUUCUACAGAAUCUAGGGUUUGUUAUCCAAGGGACAAUUUUCUCUUUUAAGCUUGAGUUGAAUUAAUACUAUUAAACCAGGCCUAGUUUUUUGUUGUUUGUUUACUAGAACUACAUUUAGACUAGAACUAAAAUACAUAUAGACUAGAACUUUUCUCAGCCUUGGUCUUAAUUCAUUCCUAGACAUUUUAUGGCUUCUUUUUUGUUUUGUUUUAUUUUGUUUCAGAGACAGAUGUUCUCCAUGUAUCUCUGGCUGUCCUGAAACUCGCUCUAUAGACUAGACUGGCUUCGAACUUAGAGUUCUGCCUGUCUCUGCCUCCCAAGUGCUAGGAUUAAAGGCAUGUGCCGCCACUGCUGGGCUAUGGUUUCUAAUUAGAAGCUAACCCUGACUUUCUCCCACCCUCCUGUAAAUAUCUUAUGGGUAUAAAGUUAAGAGCAGUUUAUACUGUGAUGGUUCAACUUGAAGAUCCACGUUAGAACUCUCCAGGCCCCUUUCUUCAACCAGCCUUUCUUCCUGAGGUUCCUCACUAUUCCUGAUGAAGGGAGAAGUAGGCAGUGCAGGCCACCCCUCAUUACUGUUGAGGGGUUUCACUCUGGGAUCCCUUUGCCUCUGCACUUCUUCAGAUUUGACUGACAGUUCAUCCUUAGUAGCAGAGUGGCUCCAAGACUUACAGAAAAAGCUUUUCCUCUCAAAAGGCUAUUUUUCCUCCUCCUUACCAGAAAGUCCUUCACCAGAGUAGCUCUACAUGAUGCCUAGCACAUUAUCUAACGUACAGCAAUGUCAGUAACUUCUAAAUGAAUGGUUGGAUGAGAAAACUUUGAAUGAAUGAAUGAAUGAAUGAAUUUUCUCUCUCUUCCAUUCUCCUCUUUUAACUUCAAUCUCCUGGGCACUCUUUCAUUCACUCUAAAUUGUUAAUCUACUCAGUGGGUCUUUCUUGAGAAGCCUGUCAAGUUGAAAAGAAGGAGAUUUUCCAAGUACAAAUCAAAACAUCCUAUCCUAACCCUCACAGCCUUAAUGUUGAUUGGCAACUGGGCUGCAUCUAAAUUCACCUAGGGUAAGGCCUCUGGUAUUACCUAGUUUGGUUGAUUUAGGAAGAGACAUCGUGACAUGUUCAAAGUACCAAGCCCAAGAGCUAGGGUCCUGGACUGAAAAAAUGAAACAAAACUAAGUACUAACAUUCAUCUCCCCGAUUUCUACCUCUGGUAUAAUAUGAUCAGUCACCUCAUGUUCCUGUUACCAUGCUGUCCUGCCACAUACCUUUAAAAUCUGAGCCAAAUUAAACCCCUCCUUCCCAAGAUGGCUUUUGUCAGGUGUUUUGUUCCAACAAGUCACAUAGCUAACACGCGCGUUAGCUCCACACGAAAUACUACUUUCAGUGAGAAAAAGUAAGCACUGAUUGUCUCUGGAUGUUUCCACUGCUCAUUCUUCCUUCAGAGUUGUCAAGACUCUUACAGAUAGCAGGAAUUUCUGACUGCUCGGUCUUUACGAGCACACAGGAUUUGAAAAGAGGGUGUAAAACAUGAAAACAAAAGAAAAUAAUCUUUUAAAAGAACAGCAGUCUCAUUGGGUAUAGAAACCACACUUAAAGGCAGGUCCUAGCAAACACAGAAGAUGGCCAAGACAAAAUGAACUCAGUGGUAUUUUGUAGACAUUUUGUCUCACAGUGCUUUAGCUUUUUGUUUGUUUUGUUGGAUUCUGGUCUUACUGGUCUUCUGCUUGCAUACUAUGACUUCUGAUUUUGUGUUUUUAAUGAUGUGUGUAUAUGUGUGUGUAUUUGCAUGUUUCUUGUGCUUUUUCUUGUUUUCUGUUUGUUUUUUGUUUUGAUAAUUCUGGUUUGUUUAAUUCUGAUUUGUUUAGGGCUUUUUUGUUUGUUUGCCUCUUUGUUUUCUAAAAAGAGAGAAAAGAAGGCAUGCAGUUGGGUAGAUGAGGAGGUGGGGAGGGUAUGAGAGGAGUUAGGGAAGAGGAAACUUAUUAGAAUAUAUUGUAUGAAAAAAAUUACUUCAACAAGUGUGUGUGUGUGUGUGUGUGUGUGUGUGUGUGUGUGUGUGUUACAAUUCUCAGUACUAGGGUGACAGAAGUUUAAAAGUCUAAAGACAGCCUGGGCUACACUGAAGGCCAGUUCUUUGUAGUAGUCAUCGUCCUACAGAAGAUGAAACAAGAGGAUUAGGAAUCCAGACUGAGUUACACUGAGGAAUCUUUUCUCAAUUAAGGAAGGAAGGAAGGAAACUGAAAUGACAUAAACAUAUAUUUACUUAAUAUCUUUAUUUUACCAACAAUUAAAAUAUUGCCUGAAAAAAUAAGAUUGCAUUUACAAUGUUACUGGAGAAAAAUUCACAAUGAAAUCACAUAUUCUUUCUGCCUCUUUAUUCCUAUCCAAAAGUCCUCUGUUUAUCCAUGCCAUCAGAAAUCAAAUGGGAGCAAUAAAGAAAUAAAAGAUGUCA